rnacentral:rRNA from 1 species
UUGCCCCGAGAUGAGUUCUCCCUGACUCCUUGAGAGUCCUGAAGGAACGUUGAAGACGACGACGUUGAUAGGCCGGGUGUGUAAGCGCAGCGAUGCGUUGAGCUAACCGGUACUAAUGAACCGUGAGACUUAACCUUACAACGCCGAAG